GAACAUACAGAUUCCUGGAAGGUGGUGACCACUGACAGGAAAGGAGUGGGAAUUUGGAAGAACAGACAGCUACAAGAGGCAUGGAAAACAUUGGUGUCUGGGAUGUGUGGACUGAGAAUUCCUGAGUAUUCCGGAAAGGCUUCUGCUUCACAGAUGGCGUUCAAAACAGCUCUCUUCAUAACUCUGUUACUUCUGGUCUUUCACUCAUUACUUAGAAUGAGAGCCAGAACACCAGAAGGACUUCUGGCUAGUUUCUUCACUGGCUCCGUAUAACAGUCAGUUUAUUUUGUAGACUAGUUUGAAGUACUUUUUGCAUUACUCAUCCUUCUCUUGGGAUUUUUAGUGCCUCCAGCCCUGGACCACAUUUAUCUGGACUUUGUCCUCUACCUCACUUCCUUCUCCUCUUCCCAGGCUGGGCUCUUCAGCUAGUCCCCAAUUUCCCCCUGGUUUCCUAGGGUUCCUCUGCAGAUGGACAGUCACAGCCAGCCUAAUGGGAGUGUCACCAAUGCUGCUGGCUUUGGUCAAAUCACACAAACCUAGUCAGGGCUUGAGAGGAGACUCUAUGGUAAGAGUGAGCUUCUUGCUACUAUAAAACACCAAGUUCAGUUCCCAGGAACCAUGUCAAACUAUUCACAACCAUUUACAACCCUGGAGAUCAGAAGGCUUCUCUGGCCUUACAUAGACAAAGCAUGCCCAUAGGCACACAUAUCCACACACAUAUGUGCACACACAUGCACGCUUGUGCACACACACACACACACACACACACACACACACUGAAAAGUUCCUUUAAAAUGUUGAAGUCUCCUUUUAUAUUUGACUAUGACCAGGUCUCCAAGAGGGACCCUUAGCCUAUGGAUCCUUCCACAGCAAACCCACAAGUGAGAGGUACCAAGACCACCUGGAAGGGUAGCAAACACACCUGAAUUCAGCUCCUUCACCAGAGAGGACAUGGUAUUGGUGAUGGAGUCUGCAGCCACCAGCAAGUCAUUCCUUAGAUUCCUUCUUGAACCUUCAAUGAAGAAGUGAUAAUUUAAUGUCACAGCUUUUCUUUUACACCUGGCUUUUAUGUUGUUUGUCUACCAACUCCUUUGAUAACCUACAGCAAGAAUAGGAGCUUUGGUUCAUCCCCUGAGUGGAAAAAGAAAGUACACUGGCCCUGAUGUAAAAAGACCCAGCAGUUCAUGUCUUUCGUUAUUCCAAUUGGGUACUUGGGAAAAAUGAAAGGAGUCAGCUUUUCUAAGGCAUGGUGACCUGGCACAAGCUUUGGCACUCCCAGUGAAUCAGAAGGUGUGGACAUCUCACUGAGGACAUCUCACAACACAGAAGCAAGGCCUGGCUUGUCAGAAUAGUUGUACCUUCUAAGUAGCUGUUAUGACCCCGGACAUUACCAUGUGGCUGGGCACACUGGAGCCUGUCCUCUGACAGCACAGGCUCUGUCUCCUAACAGGGCUUCCAGAGAUCUCCGUUCCAGGACAGAUGCCUUUGACAUUGGGACACCAGGUACUGACUGCUCCCAGAGAGGGGAAAGAGGGUGAGGCGUUUUGCAUCUGCUCUUAAGAUAUCAAGCAUAUGCAUGCCUUGUACCUUAACAUGAACUUAGACUGCUGAAGGUAGUCCAUGGUACAAAAAGGUUAUUUCUACAUAUCAGGCACACUAAGGGUUACAGGGAUAGUUGUAGGAUUCUGUGGGAGUAGGUAAGGUGGAGAUGGAAUACAACAUUCAUUACCAUAAUAUCUUAGAAAGAAAGGGCUCAAAAUUCCAAAGAUGCCACUUACAAAAAAGUUACAUAGCAUGAGUGUUCCAAGCGCUACGGGCUUCCCAUGACAUUGCCAUUUUGCACAAAGUAGCCUUAAAUGAAUGAAACAAUAAAUCUAUUUAAAUC